UUAUUCUACUUUGAAUGAGGUUGGCAUUGCAUAUCAUGUAUUUUAAUUCAGACUCAAAAUCAUCUGAAUUUGCAGUUUCGGUCUUCUUUUUUUUUCCAAUUCCUCUCUGUUAAGCUCUAAUUCCUGUGAUUCAAAUUCAAUUAUCAUUCUACAUACUAUUCAAAUUCAAAUUCAAUUAUCAAUCAGAGCAAACUUGGAUGUGUGGGAUUAAUAUGAUAAAUUAGGCUAUUUUUUUCUUUCAAAGAGAAGAUGAUGUAAGGAGAAGCAAGAACUGUUGAUUGUUUAAGGGGAAGAUUGCUUGCAGAGACAGUGACUUCAAAGGCUGCAAAAGAAGAUGCAUAAAUCAUGGGUAAAAAGUUGUUGAUGCACAUUCCAUGAUUGGCUAAUGCAGGCCCAUGAUGGGAAAGGACCUACAUUUCUCGGAUCAUCAUGCUAAUAUGUCAGGUAGCACAGCUUGAAAAUUUAUUUUAAAUGACAAUACUUCCCAAAGAACUCAUAGAAGGGCCAAGAUGUUUGAACUUUGUGGAUCUAUACUUUCAAGCCAUAUUGAAUGAGAAUGUAGAAGUUACUUGGCAUGUGUGAGGCAAAUGGAUGUGACAUAGUGAAUGGUCACUAAUGGAAGUUCAUUUAUGAAUGGUAUGAGCUGUUUGGAUGAUAUUUUCAAAUUAUAGCAUGACGAUGUCUACAUCUUUUCCUACCAAUCUUCUAUACUUCAAUAUGACUUCUGUAAUGUUUGACCAUAAUAUUUCAUGAAACUUGGAUCAGUUCACAUUCAAUGAAUUGCAAUUCAUUUGGAUUGAGCAUCCAAAAGCACUCAAGUUUUGUUAUUCCACUUAGGAUUGGGAAAUCCACUACAGUGAAACACCAAAAUGGACAGAAAAUUCUGGUUUUUAAAAAAAAAAAAAAAUUGAAAAAAGGAGAUUUCAUUAAGGAAAAAAGAACACUAAUGUUUUGUACUUCAUAAUUUCAUACAUGUAUAUGCAUGCAUGAAUUCACAGUGGACAGAAAUUUGUUUUUUUUUUUCUCCUGACAUUGCUUGUGUGUUCUACAACCAUUGAGCAUGAUGAGCUGUUUGUUUAGCUGUUCCUGAACUGCAUCUCUUUAGAUUUGCUUGUGGGCACCCCAUUUUUGAUGGUGUAACAGAGUGUAAUAGAUGAUAUGCAAGCACUUACAAAUUACAUAAAUUGCAUGCAAGCCAUACAAGUCAAAUUAAACUGUUCAAAUAAUGGUUCUCAGUUUAGAUAUAUCAUGAACCAAAAAUUACACUAUCUGAUUGUCUGACUAUCAAAAUAGUGAACGUUUAUUGGAUGAUUAAAAAUGUUUUCAUGCCCAACGGUCCUAUUGCCAUAAACAAGUGUCCAUGGAUUAGAAGCUAGGAUUGUUUUAUCAGGAUUUACUGCCUAUUUCAUGGCCUUUGUGUAUGUCUGCAUUUGUUUCAAGUUGUCCAAGGUUUAUUGGAGAAUGUUGCCAUCUGAUCAUCCUGCUCUAUGUCAGAAUGUGACCGUUUGGAUGAUUUGGUGUCUGAAUUUUCUUUUAUCAAUGGCACUUUUUGAGCCUUUCUUUGAUAUCUUAUUUGAACUUCAAACUUACAGUCCAAUUACAUGAUUUGGAGCAGGUUAUUGACUAUUUUAAUAAGGUACUGGAGGGCUCAAGUAUAGAUCUGUCAUAAGCCAGUAUCUCUGUGUAGAUUGAUCUUGGGAAACAAACAAUUACAUGACCGCCACUG